rnacentral:rRNA from 1 species
GAUGAACGCUGGCGGCGUGCCUAAUACAUGCAAGUCGAGCGAACGGACGAGAAGCUUGCUUCUCUGAUGUUAGCGGCGGACGGGUGAGUAACACGUGGAUAACCUACCUAUAAGACUGGGAUAACUUCGGGAAACCGGAGCUAAUACCGGAUAAUAUUUUGAACCGCAUGGUUCAAAAGUAAAAGACGGUCUUGCUGUCACUUAUAGAUGGAUCCGCGCUGCUUUAGCUAGUUGGUAAGGUAACGGCUUACCAAGGCAACGAUGCGUAGCCGACCUGAGAGGGUGAUCGGCCACACUGGAACUGAGACACGGUCCAGACUCCUACGGGAGGCAGCAGUAGGGAAUCUUCCGCAAUGGGCGAAAGCCUGACGGAGCAACGCCGCGUGAGUGAUGAAGGUCUUCGGAUCGUAAAACUCUGUUAUUAGGGAAGAACAUAUGUGUAAGUAACUGUGCACAUCUUGACGGUACCUAAUCAGAAAGCCACGGCUAACUACGUG